rnacentral:rRNA from 1 species
GACAGAGGGUGCGAGCGUUAAUCGGAGUGACUGGGCGUAAAGGGCGCGUAGGCGGUUGUAAGGGUCUGAUGUGAAAUGUCUGGGCUUAACCUGGGAUGUGCAUUGGAAACUGUAUGACUAGAGUCUAGGAGAGGAGAGUGGAAUUCCCGGUGUAGCGGUGAAAUGCGCAGAUAUCAGGAAGAACACCGAUGGCGAAGGCAGCUCUCUGGGCCUGUUCUGACGCUGAGGAGCGAAAGCUGGGGGAGCGAACAGG